rnacentral:rRNA from 1 species
UGGGGAAUAUUGGACAAUGGGCGCAAGCCUGAUCCAGCAAUGCCGCGUGAGUGAUGAAGGCCUUAGGGUUGUAAAGCUCUUUCGCACGCGACGAUGAUGACGGUAGCGUGAGAAGAAGCCCCGGCUAACUUCGUGCCAGCAGCCGCGGUAAUACGAAGGGGGCUAGCGUUGUUCGGAAUUACUGGGCGUAAAGGGCGCGUAGGCGGCCUGUUUAGUCAGAAGUGAAAGCCCCGGGCUCAACCUGGGAAUAGCUUUUGAUACUGGCAGGCUUGAGUUCCGGAGAGGAUGGUGGAAUUCCCAGUGUAGAGGUGAAAUUCGUAGAUAUUGGGAAGAACACCGGUGGCGAAGGCGGCCAUCUGGACGGACACUGACGCUGAGGCGCGAAAGCGUGGGGAGCAAACAGAUUAGAUACCCUGGUAGUCCACGCCGUAAACGAUGAAUGCUAGACGUCGGGGUGCAUNCACUUCGGUGUCGCCGCUAACGCAUUAAGCAUUCCGCCUGGGGAGUACGGCCGCAAGGUUAAAACUCAAAGGAAUUGACGGGGUCAUAGCUGUUUCC